rnacentral:rRNA from 1 species
UACGUAGGGUGCAAGCGUUGUCCGGAAUUAUUGGGCGUAAAGAGCUCGUAGGCGGUUUGUCGCGUCGAAUGUGAAAACCCGGGGCUCAACCCCGGGCCUGCAUUCGAUACGGGCAGACUAGAGUUCGGUAGGGGAGUCUGGAAUUCCUGGUGUAGCGGUGAAAUGCGCAGAUAUCAGGAGGAACACCGAUGGCGAAGGCAGCACUCUGGUACGUGACUGACGCUGAGACGCGAAAAGCGUGGGGAGCAAACAGG